GUACUCGCUUCAGCAGCACAUAUAAUACUAAAAUUGGAACGGUACAGAGAAGAUUAGCAUGGCCCCUGUGCAAGGAUCACAUGGAGAUUCGUGAAGCAUUCCAUAGAAGA